GACAGAGGGUGCAAACGUUGCUCGGAAUUACUGGGCGUAAAGCGCACGUAGGCGGCUUCUUAAGUCGGUGGUGAAAUCCUGGAGCUCAACUCCAGAACUGCCUUCGAUACUGGGAAGCUCGAGUCCGGGAGAGGUGAGUGCAACUGCGAGUGUAGAGGUGAAAUUCGUAGAUAUUCGCAAGAACACCAGUGGCGAAGGCGGCUCACUGGCCCGGUACUGACGCUGAGGUGCGAAAGCGUGGGGAGCAAACAGG
rnacentral:rRNA from 1 species